GCCUAGGGCUGGAGCUUUCUGGGGUUUGUCUGUCAGGAAAAGUGGUUUCGGAUCCACGAGGAAAGGUCUCGUAGAGUAAGCAGGAACAUUCUGAAGAUCGCCUCGCAGGAGAAGAUGCCAGACCAUACUCGGACUAAACUGCCAAGCAUUCAAACCUUGCUUCAGAGAGCGCAACUCCGAUGGGCUGGCCACGUUGUUGGAAUUUAAAACGGAAGCUUCCCAAAAAAAAACUGUUUUAUGGAAAGCUCACACAGGGCAAGCGUUCAUAUGGUGGUCAGAAGAUACAAGGACAUUUUCGAGGUCUCUCCUAAGAACUUUGGAAUUGAUUGUGUUACAUGGGAGACACUGGCACAGGAUCCCUCGGCACGGCGCUUACCACAUCAGAGAAGGUGCUGUGCUCUAUGUAUGGGCAAAGCAGAAUUGAAACAGCUCAAAGGAAACGCAGGAUACGCAAAUUUACAAUAUCCACCCACCCCAGAUGUUCACAUGAACUAUGUGUGCCCAACCUGUGGUAAAGCAUUCCGAGCUCAUGUUGGUCCGAUUAGCCACAGUCCGACACAUUUUUGAAACUUGACUCUUAACGGUCAUGUCGUGUUUUGGUCCUCUUCAAGAAGGAAGGACGACAACCAAGCAACCAACCAUGUGGAAGCCAAAGCAUCAACGAAGUUUAAAAAUCACUCAUUUUCUGCCUUCAGCUCAGUUAGUGAGACAGACGGUUAUGUGAUAUAAAAUGUUAAACAGAAUAUAAGUAGAGGACUCGUAGGGACAAAGAAGACCUUCAAAGUAUGCUUAUAUCAUUUCAGGAGGCAAAGGACACAUUUUGUUAGAUCAGGAAAGUUUUAGGGAAGAUGCUCUUGAGUGGAUCCUGGUAGGUAGAGAAGGAGGCUUCUCUGUCAAAGGGGAGCAAGUGAUGGUGUGGCUGUUGUGGGAUUUUUGAGCUUUUUUGAAUCUACAUUUUUAAUCCCUAAUCAGAAGAGACUAUUGCUUGCCUAAUCACAUCAUCCUUCCCCAGAUGUUCAAAAUAAAUAGACUGAGGUGGUAAUGUAUGGAAGCCUUUGGCUUGUUGGUUUAAGAAUAUGAUUCUGGCUUUGGAUGGAAGGGAUCCCAGACAAGUUGCAUGUCCUCUUGAUUUUUUGCUUCCUCCUAGCUACUCUCCAUCCUACUCCCCCAUGUCCUCUAGAAACCUGGAACUCUUGCCAUACUUUUAUAGACUCCAUUCGACUGAUUAAAACACAGACACCUAUGUGUCUUGAAGAAAUAA